AAGAAGGAAAAAAAUAAGGUGCAGGGCUGUUCUUCACGAAAUUAUUCAAGGUGUCAACCUAGUCAAUUGGGAGAGGUCGAAACCGUAAGUUUGGCGUACCUCGGUCGAUACAAAGGUAGUAGGUUGCUUAGAGUGGGUCCACUACCGGUCGUCGUGUUGAGGUGUUUUGCUAGCGUUAGGUGGGGUUUUGGUUACGUUGUUGUCAAUUGCCUUAACUGGUACAGAAUUUAAUUUGUAAGGAGUUGUAACUAAGGAUAGUUAAAGUUUUUUUAAAUUGUAUAGGUUGUAAUUAAGUUUGGUCGAUGGUUGGCGUUCUAUUUGAGGUUAGCCUUGGACGUUGUGGAUGGUCGAGUUUGUUGUAGGUGGUUGAUGAGGAAGUUGGUUUAUUCAAGUUGUAAGUAAGUCUUUGGUGGAU